AUACGAAGGGGGCUAGCGUUGUUCGGAAUUACUGGGCGUAAAGAGCUCGUAGGCGGCUCAGCAAGUCGGUCGUGAAAGCCCGAGGCUCAACCUCGGAACUGCGGUCGAUACUGCUGUGGCUAGAGUCCGGUAGAGGAGAGUGGAAUUCCCGGUGUAGCGGUGGAAUGCGCAGAUAUCGGGAGGAACACCAGUGGCGAAGGCGGCUCUCUGGGCCGGUACUGACGCUGAGGAGCGAAAGCGUGGGGAGCAAACAGGAUUAGAAACCCUAGUAGUCC
rnacentral:rRNA from 1 species